rnacentral:rRNA from 1 species
GACGUAGGGCGCGAGCGUUGUCCGGAAUUAUUGGACGUAAAGAGCUCGUAGGCGGUCUGUCGCGUCUGCUGUGAAAACUCAGGGCUUAACCCUGAGCUUGCAGUGGGUACGGGCAGACUAGAGUGGCGGUAGGGGAGACUGGAAUUCCGUGGUGUAGACGGUGAAAUGCGCAGAUAUCAGGAGGAACACCGGUGGCGAAGGCGGGUCUCUGGGCCGUAACUGACGCUGGAGGAGCGAAAGCCAUGGGGAGCGAACAGGA